rnacentral:rRNA from 1 species
CCCUUAGAUGAUUUGGGCUGCACGCGCGCUACACUGACCCUAACAAUGAGCAACUGUCUGGCCUGAGAUGGCUGGGUAGCCUUUUCAACCCAUGUCAUGAUUGGGCUAGAUUUUUUUAAGUCUUGAUCUCUAACGAGGAAUCCCUAGUAUGCGUGAAUCAUCAAUCCAUGCAGAUUAUGUCCCUGCCCUUUGUACACACCGCCCGUCGCUCCUACUGAUUGGGUGAUCCGGUGAGCUGUUCGGCCAUAGCAAUGUUUCUUGAGCAGGGCAAUGAAUGUUUCGCAAACCUUGCCACUUAGAGGAAGGAGAAGUCGUAACA